GAUCCUGGCUCAGGACGAACGCUGGCGGCGCGCCUAACACAUGCAAGUCGAACGAGAGAUGAGGAGCUUGCUCUUCAAAUCGAGUGGCGAACUGGUGAGUAACGCGUGAGGAACCUGCCUCAAAGGAGGGGGACAACAGUUGGAAACGACUGCUAAUACCGCAUAAGCCCACGGCUCGGCAUCGAGCAGAGGGAAAAGGAGCGAUCCGCUUUGAGAUGGCCUCGCGUCCGA
rnacentral:rRNA from 1 species